rnacentral:rRNA from 1 species
UACAGAGGUCUCAAGCGUUGUUCGGAUUCAUUGGGCGUAAAGGGUGCGUAGGCGGCGCGUUAAGACAGGUGUGAAAGCCCCGAGCUUAACUUGGGAAUUGCGCUUGUGACUGGCGUGCUGGAGUGUGGCAGAGGGAGGUGGAAUUCCACGUGUAGCAGUGAAAUGCGUAGAGAUGUGGAGGAACACCGAUGGCGAAGGCAGCCUCCUGGGCCAGCACUGACGCUCAUGCACGAAAGCGUGGGGAGCAAACAGG